GUCUAUAAAUACUGGCAAACGCGGCGUGGCUUGUUCUCUUUCGUGUUCGUUAGGGAGGCAUGGCUAUGUGUUUCUCUUAUAACACUUUCCCCAUACUCGUGCGUAUAUGUAUGGAGGAAUAGAAGCGCCAGUGCUAUGUCUUCGGUACCGGCAUGUUCCCAUCAGCUGGUUCUAUCCUCAAUCGCUGUGUUAAAGACGAAAGCGUGCAAGCCUGAGUGUGGAGCUCUUCACUGUGAUGGCUAUGAAAAGUAGAUUUGCCAGGACUUCCCAGUAAUCAUACAGCUAUGCUAAAGAUCAGCUGGGUCUAUAUUUCCGUAGGUUUGUAGGCAAAUGCCUGACAUGGGUUUUCAUGCACUUCUAAUAAAGGGCUUUAAGCAUA